UGGGGAAUUUUGGACAAUGGGCGAAAGCCUGAUCCAGCCAUGCCGCGUGAGUGAAGAAGGCCUUCGGGUUGUAAAGCUCUUUUAGUCGGAAAGAAAGAGUUGCAAUGAAUAAUUGUGAUUUAUGACGGUACCGACAGAAAAAGCACCGGCUAACUACGUGCCAGCAGCCGCGGUAAUACGUAGGGUGCGAGCGUUAAUCGGAAUUACUGGGCGUAAAGGGUGCGCAGGCGGUCUUGCAAGUCAGAUGUGAAAGCCCCGGGCUUAACCUGGGAAUUGCGUUUGAAACUACAAUACUAGAGUGCAGCAGAGGGGAGUGGAAUUCCAUGUGUAGCAGUGAAAUGCGUAGAGAUGUGGAAGAACACCGAUGGCGAAGGCAUCUCCCUGGGUUGACACUGACGCUCAUGCACGAAAGCGUGGGGAGCAAACA
rnacentral:rRNA from 1 species